UACAGAGGUCCCAAGCGUUGUUCGGAUUCACUGGGCGUAAAGGGUGCGUAGGUGGUGAGGUAAGUCGGAUGUGAAAUCUCCGAGCUCAACUCGGAAAUGGCAUUGGAAACUACCUUGCUCGAGGGUUGGAGGGGGGACUGGAAUGCUUGGUGUAGCAGUGAAAUGCGUAGAUAUCAAGCGGAACACCAGUGGCGAAGGCGAGUCCCUGGACAACUCCUGACACUGAGGCACGAAGGCAUGGGGAGCGAACGGG
rnacentral:rRNA from 1 species